rnacentral:rRNA from 1 species
AGAGUUUGAUUCUGGCUCAGGAUGAACGCUAGCUACAGGCUUAACACAUGCAAGUCGAGGGGUAGCAGGGUAGCAAUACCGCUGACGACCGGCGCACGGGUGAGUAACACGUAUCCAACCUUCCCAUAACUCAGGGAUAGCCUUUCGAAAGAAAGAUUAAUACCUGAUAGUACUUUUUCAAGGCAUCUUGAGAAAGUUAAAGAUUUAUUGGUUAUGGAUGGGGAUGCGUUCCAUUAGAUAGUUGGUGAGGUAACGGCUCACCAAGUCUUCGAUGGAUAGGGGUUCCCGAGAGGAAGGUCCCCCACAUUGGUACUGAGACACGGACCAAACUCCUACGGGAGGCAGCAGUGAGGAAUAUUGGUCAAUGGGCGAGAGCCUGAACCAGCCAAGUAGCGUGAAGGAAUGAAGGUCCUAUGGAUUGUAAACUUCUUUUAUAGUAGAAUAAAGUGAUCCACGUGUGGAUUUUUGUAUGUAUACUAUGAAUAAGGAUCGGCUAACUCCGUGCCAGCCGCCGC